GAUGAACGCUAGCUACAGGCUUAACACAUGCAAGUCGAGGGGAAACGAUAUUGGAAGCUUGCUUCCGAUAGGCGUCGACCGGCGCACGGGUGAGUAACGCGUAUCCAACCUGCCCACCACUUGGGGAUAACCUUGCGAAAGUAAGACUAAUACCCAAUGAUAUCUCUAGAAGACAUCUGAAGGAGAUUAAAGAUUUAUCGGUUAUGGAUUGGGAUGCGUCUGAUUAGCUUGUUGGCGGGGUAACGGCCCACCAAGGCGACGAUCAGUAGGGGUUCUGAGAGGAAGGUGCCCCACAUUGGAACUGAGACACGGCCCAAACUCCUACGGGAGGCAGCAGUGAGGAAUAUUGGUCAAUGGGCGAGAGCCUGAACCAGCCAAGUAGCGUGCAGGAUGACGGCCCUAUGGGUUGUAAACUGCUUUUAUAAGGGAAUAAAGUGAGCCUCGUGAGGCUUUUUGCAUGUACCUUAUGAAUAAGGACCGGCUAAUUCCGUGCCAGCCGCCGCCGUAA
rnacentral:rRNA from 1 species